UAGCUCUAACCAGAUAGAGCAUCCCGAUUUAUAAUCGGGACGGUCAAAGGUUCGAAUCCUUU
rnacentral:tRNA from 1 species